rnacentral:rRNA from 1 species
GACGAACGCUGGCGGCGCGCUUUAUACAUGCAAGUCGAACGAGAAGCCAGAGCUUGCUCUGGUGGAAGGUGGCGAACGGGUGAGUAACACGUGAGAAACCUGCCCAAAGACUGGGAUAAGCCGAGGAAACUUGGUCUAAUACCGGAUACCUUCUUUUUAUCACAUGUUAAAAAGAAGAAAUGCUCCGGCGCUUUGGGAUGGUCUCGCGACCUAUCAGCUUGUUGGUGAGGUAAAAGCUCACCAAGGCAUCGACGGGUAGCUGGUCUGAGAGGAUGUCCAGCCACAUUGGGACUGAGAUACGGCCCAAACUCCUACGGGGAGCAGCAGUAGGGAAUCUUGCACAAUGAGGGAAACCUUGAUGCAGCGACGCCGCGUGCGGGACGAAGGCCCUAGGGUUGUAAACCGCUUUCAGUAGGGACGAAAGUGACGGUACCUACAGAAGAAGACCCCGGCCAACUAUGUGCCAGCAGCCGCGGUAAU